CAAAAGUCGCGUUUCAUCGCGUUACUCUUCGACAUAUUUCGCUCACUUUAUUGAUCACAUUGAUCGUUCGGGAAUGAAUUAAAUUUGUCUCCACGUCGGACCAUAGAUAUUUUGGUAUGAAUUCUUACAAAAUUGAGUUUUGUCUGCAAAUAAAAGUAUAAAAAUAAGAUGAAUAUCGAUAUUUUUUAAUAUCGAUUAACUUUACUUAGCGACUAAUACAGCAAAAAUAAAAAAUUCUUGUCAGCAAUAAAUAAAGACAGUUUAUACAGUAUCUGUUUCUCUUCGGUUUCUGGACAAUCUCGGAGAACGUAAACAUUUACAGCGAGAUCAAAUAUCGAGAGGGGUAGAAGGAUAUUCCUUUCCUUCUUCCGGAUGUUUCGUCGUUCCCGGAACGACAACGUGCGCGCGCCCGUCCGUUUAUGAUAAUCCGUAGCAAAUCCGAACAAAGCAGACACAGUUACAUGUCUGAAUGUGGAACACGAUUGAUUUAUUUGUCGUAUCGUGCCUUGACGUGUGUGACGCCUCCUGGAAACUAACUGUCAACGUUGCGCCGGAAACGCUAGAUCUCUCUGUGCCGGAGUUAACACCAGGAAGUACAACCGACGGCAGGAAAGAAUCUAUGGCAAAAGGGGAGUGCGCAUAUUCUUUCGAUAAGGUCGUAGAAAUGUGCUGGUACAACCGUCUGUGACCUCGUGUCAACAUAUGGACGGAUAUUUCCGUUUCGGUGCCGGCGCAGCGACGUGGCUGUGCAACGAUUGCAACGGAAGAGACACGUGAAAACACACAUUCCCGAAACCAAUCUAAACUUCACAAAUAACAUUUGGAUAUCUGUUUUUCUCGCGCAUCUUUGUUCACGCGUAGCAAAAAUAAAGAAUAUUUUUUUUGUGAAAGAACGAACUCUUCGGAAAAUGUGAUAACGCGUGUACGUAACACGAGAUACUGUAUUUUCA